AGUGAACGCUGGCGGUAGGCCUAACACAUGCAAGUCGAACGGCAGCACAGGAGAGCUUGCUCUCUGGGUGGCGAGUGGCGGACGGGUGAGGAAUACAUCGGAAUCUACUCUGUCGUGGGGGAUAACGUAGGGAAACUUACGCUAAUAUCGCAUACGACCUAAGGGUGAAAGCAGGGGAUCUUCGGACCUUGCGCGAUUGAAUGAGCCGAUGUCGGAUUAGCUAGUUGGCGGGGUAAAGGCCCACCAAGGCGACGAUCUGUAGCUGGUCUGAGAGGAUGAUCAGCCACACUGGAGCUGAGACACGGUCCAGACUCCUACGGGAGGCAGCAGUGGGGAAUAUUGGACAAUGGGCGCAAGCCUGAUCCAGCCAUACCGCGUGGGUGAAGAAGGCCUUCGGGUUGUAAAGCCCUUUUGUUGGGAAAGAAAUCCAGCUGGCUAAUACCCGGUUGGGAUGACGGUACCCAAAGAAUAAGCACCGGCUAACUUCGUGCCAGCAGCCGCAGUAA
rnacentral:rRNA from 1 species